GCAAACUUGGUCAUUUAGAGGAAGUAAAAGUCGUAACAAGGUUUCCGUAGGUGAACCUGCGGAAGGAUCAUUACUGAAAAUGGACUCUGGUCCUUUCUCUCAAAACCCUUGUGAAUUGUCCUGUUGCUUUGGCGGGCAUGAACCUGGAGGUGUGAAAGCUCCGACGGGGUCCGCCAGAGUCAUUUAAACAUCUGUUUUAUUAUGAUGUCUGAACAUAUCGUAUAAAUAAGCAAAACUUUCAACAACGGAUCUCUUGGCUCUUGCAUCGAUGAAGAACGCAGC
rnacentral:misc_RNA from 1 species